AAAUUCACUAUGUUGGUUAUCUCAUGUUGAGGCUCAUAUCAUAUUCCCUGGGAAGUCGAAAUAUUAUGAGACAAAUCGCUAUGAAAUCAAAAUUUUGAGACGGACCUUUAAGUCGACAUUGCACAUGUAUUUGCAAACAUAAAAGAAUGCAGUAAUAAAACACAGGAGUAACAAACAUACAUAGUGGACGGUUGAAACUAAAUGUAAUAUCUGUGGACAUGUAUUUAUGACGUCAUAUUAUAAAACACUAGACUUCGGACAUACAAGUUUGACUAUUGAUCGGAAAGAAGCUCAAUUAGUGUAUACAAUUAAAUCACAUAAAUGCUUUUAUCUUACUGGUACUGACAUAUAUCGUUAUGAUGAACAUUAUACUUUCCGACACUUUGCUCAAAGCAUUUGGCUACAAGUUACAAAAAUCAUAACAUUGCCCAACAAUUUCCUCACGUCGUUGGCAACUAUUCUAAAGAACUUGACUUUUCUUUUUCAUUCCCUAUUUAUUAUCCAACCAUUCUAAUUUAAAAUGAAAAAAAAAAUAUACAUGAGCAUUUAACAAAUACAUAAUACCUUCAAAAAUAUAGUAGAAGCUUAUAGUCAAUGCCAGAAGAAGUCACUUAUUUUAGUUUUCAGUUUUCAGGGCUUUGACAUCUGCGGCAGGCGUGGUAAAUCCGUGGAUAGCUUUAGCCUGGACAUACAAGCUUGAUGAUAUAGAUAUAUUCAACAACGGUUAUGGAAUCGGCUUAGACGACGGGGCAGGGUUUUAUGAGAUGAACAAAGUAGCUAAAUCAGCACUAACGCAAGCUAUCAGAGAGGGUCGCAGGGGUAAAGGAACAAUCUUCAUAUUUAGUGCUGGCAAUCGAUGGCGAGUAUUUCGAUGAUUGUAAUACUGUAGAACUGGUCAACAAUAUGUAUACAAUCGGGGUAAAUUCCCUGGCACCUGAGGGUGGUCCUGCCACAUACGCGGAGGAAUGUACAAACGUAAUGACCGCAGCCUAUGCUGGAGAAGAAUAUCCAAACGGUACAAAGGUGUACCUGGCUACAACGGCCAUAAAUGAUACUUGUAUAGAAAACUAUGGCGGAGGGUCUGCUUCGGUUUCGUUACUUUCGGGAAUCAUAGCGCUAACAUUGCAGGCAAAUCCUGAUCUGACGUGGCGGGAUGUGCAGCAUUUACUAGCGGAGACUUCAACCUCUGUUGGCGUACCUGGAGGAAACUUCUACUUGAACGCUGCUGGCAAAAAUGUCAGUAAUACACUUGGAUUUGGAGUGGUUAACGCAGAGGGAAUGGUUAAAACCGCAUCCACAUGGACGACAGUUCCAGAGAGAUUAUCGUGCAGCAGCGGAACGUUGGAAGUAAACAAAUGUUGCACAAGGUCCUAUCGAAGCGUCAUAUUUUGUCGACGACUGUCCAUAUACAGUAUUUGGAGCAUGUUCAGAUAUUUGUAUCUUGUGAAGCCUACUGGAGGGAACAUACAGAGAUCCACAUUGUUUCACCCCAAGGAACAUGAUAGUAGAAUUCUACGCCAGCGUAAGCUAGAUUAUGAACUGGCAAGAUUUGACUGGACCUUUAUGUCUGUCCAUAACUGGGGUGAAAAUCCAGCGGGAAAUUGGACUGUCAGAAUGGACGACUUCCUAAACUGUGAUAAUGAGAUGCACUUGUACAGCUGGGCUCUAACAUUGUAUGGUACAGUAACCAACCCUCUCGACGGAUUACCCGAAAAUGGGACGAUUGGUGGAUAUUGUGAUGAUAGUGUAAUUUGCACUGAUGGUACAAAGUGUCUUCAGGAUUCCAACGUCUGUGUAGACUGUAGUGUGGCUGGACAUAGGAUUGUAAAUAACUUCUGUGUAAAAGAUGGAUACGGAUAUUGCGAUCUGAAUGUAACGUGCAUAACAGACAACGCCUGGUGCAAUGCUGAAAACGUCUGUGAAAGUUGUGGAACUGGGUACCAUGAAAUUGACGGAGUAUGUAAACAAGAUGGUGCGCUAGGAGGCUACUGUGAUGCUUUGGCAGUUUGUGUAGAUUCAGGCGUGGCCUGUGAUCUUGCCACAGAUCGCUGUGUCAGCUGUACAAAUGGAUAUCAUAUAGUUGGUGACUCAUGUAUUGAAGAUAGUGUACAGGGGGGUUAUUGCGAUAAGGAGAUUCCAUGUUUUACUACAAUCUACGUUCCUGGUGCAGCAUGCGAUCCUAGCUCAAAUAGCUGUGUUGAUUGUUACUAUCUUGUUAACCAUCGUGUCCUAGAUGGAUUUUGUAUCGAAGAUGGAACAAUUGGAGGAUUUUGUAGCAGCGAAAUAUCAUGCACUAUUACCGGAAGUGGUUGUGACCCUGAAUCUAACACAGUGCAUUACGUGCACAAUGAAUGGAUAUCGCAGUGUGAGCGGCUACUGCAGGCGGGAUGGUGUGAUUGACGGAUACUGUGACACAAGUCUGGUCUGUAAUGACGGGACAGGGUGUGAUUUCCAAUCAAACGUUUGUAUAAAUUGUUCAUCAACAGGAUACCGUGUUCUACCUGAUGGCUAUUGUAGACAAGGAUACCGUGUUUAACCUGAUGGCUGUUGUAGACAAUGAUUGUAUAGACUUUUCAUCAACAGGAUACCGUGUUUUACCUGAUGGCUAUUGUAGACAAUGAUUGUAUUGAUUUUUCAUCAUCAGGAUACCGUGUUUUACCUGAUGACUAUUGUAGACAAUGUUUGUAUUGAUUUUUCAACAACAGGAUACCUCGUUUAACCUGAUGGCUAUUGUAGACAAGGUUUGUAUUGACUUUUCAUAAACAGGAUACCGUGUUCUACCUGAUAUCUAUUGUAGACAAGGUUUAUAUAGACUUUUCAUCAACAGGAUACCAUGUUUUAUCUGACGGCUAUUAUAGACAAGGUCUGUAUUGACCUUUCGUCAACAGGAUACCGUGUUUAACCUGAUGCCUAUUGUUGACAAUGAUUGUAUAGACUUUUCAUCAACAAGAUACCGUGUUUAACCUGAUGGCUAUUGUAGACAAUGAUUGUAUAGUCUUUUCAUCAAUAAGAUACCGUGUUUCACCUGAUGGCUAUUGUAGACAAUGUCUGUAUUGACCUUUCAUUAACAGGAUACCGUGUCCUACGUGAUAGCUAUAGUAGAAAAGGUUUGUAUAGACUUUUCAUCAACAGGAUACCGUGUUUUACCUGAUGACUAUUGUAGACAAGGUUUGUAUUGACUUUUCAUCGACAGAAUACAGUGUUUAACCUGAUGGCUAUUGUAGACAAGGUUUGUAUAGACUUUUCAUCAACAGGAUACCGUGUUUAACCUGAUGGCUAUUGUAGACAAUGAUUGUAUUGAUUUUUCAUCAUCAGGAUACCGUGUUUUACCUGAUGACUAUUGUAGACAAUGUUUGUAUUGAUUUUUCAACAACAGGAUACCUCGUUUAACCUGAUGGCUAUUGUAGACAAGGUUUGUAUUGACUUUUCAUAAACAGGAUACCGUGUUCUACCUGAUAUCUAUUGUAGACAAGGUUUAUAUAGACUUUUCAUCAACAGGAUACCGUGUUCAACCUGA
rnacentral:misc_RNA from 1 species